rnacentral:lncRNA from 1 species
GAUGCAUUCACUUGAAACCUCCGUGAAGGCAUGGCUAAGGAGGAGGAUGACGCCUUAGAUGGCUUGAAAGGCAAUAGUGGCUUGCGUAAGGCUACAGUUUUUGUCGACGACGGCGAUCGGUUUUGGGUGAGUGGCAUGAACAAUGACACGGCGGAGGUAGAAGCCAUCUCUUUUUCUCUCCUCUUCUUUCUUUUCGAGUUUGUUUGGCAAUGUGAGUUUGGUCUAUGAGAAGAAACAUAAGAUAUGGGUCAUAUGAGGAGUGGGAGAUAUGUGUCUUACGUGGCAGUUUCUGACCUUGGAAGUCUGAUUCUUUAGAUAAGGUUAUCUUCAUUUUAAUUUUCUUGUUAGCCCAAUCACAGUUCUUUGCUUUCUUUUCGAUUCUUUUUUUGUCUACUAUUAUUUUAUUGCCUACUCUUUCUUAUUGGUGAUCACAAAAACAAAAAGUAAACUUUACCACUUAUUGCAUUUUACAAAAAAAAAAAACCUAAAAGAAAACUGCCAGAAAAUUAAUCUUUUAUAGUUGUCAAAAAAAAAUUAUCUUUUAUAAAUGGGAAAUUAGGUGAUAUAAACAAACAAAAACUCAUAAUUCAUUAUAUAACCAUAAUCACACCCUCUUUCCUUUUCUCUCUUCCUAUCUCUCUCUACUCUCUUUCUACAAAACUAAUUUUACUUUUUUUUUGUUAUAUCACAAAUAAGCCCAUAAAUAUAUCUCUUAAUAUUAUUUGAGAAACACUACGACAUUUGAUUUAUAUCAUAUGUUAUCACUAAAAUGAUUUUUAGAAUUUUUAGAAAAAUAAAAAAUCAAUACGACUGAGUAUAUUACAACUUUACAACUGAGUUACGAAGAAGUUGUUGUUAAUAUGUUGUUAACUAACCACGAAUUUACGAUUGUUCAUUGUUAAUUCGUUGUCAACCACAUGUAUUAAGAGAUUCACGGUUUACGGUUUAGGGAUUCAAGGUAUGCUAGUGAAUUCGUCGUAAACCUGAAAAUGCAAGAUCGUGUUCAUUCGUCAUAAAAGAUAUUACCCGUGCAUUUGUCGUAAAUCGAAAAGUUGAAAACUCAUUAAUUUGUAGUGAAAUAUAUGAACCAUUAAUUCAUUGUAAAUCGAAAACACGGUUCAUACUACAUUCGUCGUAAACAAAAAAUGUGGUUCCUACUAAAUUCAUCAUAAAUAAAAAAUGCGGUUCCUACUAAAUUCAUCAUAAAUAAAAAAACAUGGACCUUGUGAGUUCGUCAUUAAUUUACGAUGAAUUUACGAGGAAACAUUAUUUCUUAUAUAAGCCCAACCCAUUUCUCCCCAACUCGUCGGCCAUUCUUAGGUUCCUAAGCUCUCUCCUCCCUGCGAAAAAUUAAAGGUUAGUUUUUUCUUAGUAAACUUUGGUUGUUGUUAGUUUUGUUAGAUUAAUUGAAUUAGUUUAGGUCCAAGAAUUAGAUUAGGUUACGUACAAAAUAGAUUACUUAACAUAAUUAGUUUAUAUAUGAUGACCAAUUUAAUUAUUUAUAACUAUUUUUUGUAGAUGGCUCCCAGAGAGUGAGUAAGCAAGAAUAAUUGUCCACAUUAUAGUGAGACCUUCGGUACCGGAGAUAAAUUGGGUUAUAUUUCCUCCGCUUCUACUUUAGCUCCGGAGGCUCAGUCUCAGACAGCUCCACUACCACGACACCCUAUAUUGCUCCCGAAGAUAUAUCAGGUUAUAGUUCCUCCGCUUCUACUUCAGUUCCGAAAGCUCAGUCUCAGACAGCUCCACCACCACACCCGAUUGCUCCCGGAGAUAUAUCAGGUUAUAGUUCCUCCGCUUCUACUUCAGUUCCGGAGACUCAGUCUCAGACAAGUCCACCACCACCACCCCUGAUUGCUCCCGCAGCGCCUCUGGUUCCUCCCGCUGUGCCUCACAUUGCUUCGGGUCUUCAUCCGGAUUUGAUGGUGCCAUCCAAAGCUCCGUACGCUCAGUAAGCCGUCUUGGACCUUCUCACCCAACCAGGACGAGAAGAUUUAUGUGUAUUGGACCCCGAUUGACCGCCAAACACUCUGGUACAUUUUAAUUUGUUUUUUUUUUUCAAGUUUUCUAGUAUUUUUAUGUUAUUUUGCAGGUUUUGACUUGACGGUUAAGUGUCGAGAAGCAUUUCCAACACAACUAAGCGAUAUUUCAUCGAGCUACAUUCCAACUGGAAUCUCAUACCAGGACAUAUCCACGCUACAAGGUUUAAAUGUUUUGCAGGAAUUUUUUUUUUAAUAUUUAAUUUUAAAUAUAUACUAGAUUUUGAUCCGCGCUUUAAAGCGCGGGUUUGUUUUCGGAACAAAGUAAAUUUAUUUGAUAUAAAUUUGUAUUUUUUAUUUUUCUGUUUUGCAUUUAAAUGCUACAACAAAACUAAUAUAUUUCUACAAUUUAUAUAUAUAUAAUGUUCUGAUGAAAAUAAUUUCGACUAUGGAAUAUGUAAUCAGGUUUUAGAAUAAUAUGCAAAUAUAGGCGACAAAGAUUUAAAAUAUGUAAUCAGAUUUGAAUAAAAUAAGGGUAUUUUUUUACAUUUAUAUAGCAUUUUGAGUUAUCAUAGUAAUUAGUUAAUAAUAUCCGUACCUAAAAUCUGACCCGUAAUCAAUCCGAAAGUCAGCAUCCUAGAUCUGAUUAGACCUAGUUUAUAUACUUGAAUGGAUUUUAAAUUGCUAUAUCGGAAAAACCUAUAUCAAAUCUGAAAAUCCCAAGAGCCGAAUGAGUAUCCGAACAUUUAUAUAAGUUAUAAUUAUACUUAUAAUAAUAUUCAUACCUAAAGCUAAAAUUAUAAAUAAAAUAUAUUAGUUAUUUUGGGUAUUUAUGAUUAAAAAUGGAUGUUUUAGAAACAAAAUAUCCAGAUCAAUUGUAUUCAUGGUUACUUUCAGAUCAAAAUAACUUAUUUGAACCAUAUCUAAUAAGUAUUUUUGGUUAUUUUUAAUUAUUUUGGGUAAAUUUAUGUAAUUUGGAUAUAAAUACCCAGACUAAGUCAGAAAGUUUGGUUAUUUCAGUUAAAAAAUAUCCGAAUCCGAACCAGAUAUAACAGAUAUUCUGAACUUUUUAAAAUCUAUUUAUCAGAAAAGAUAUAACAAUAAAAUAAAUAGACCUGUUUAAUUUUAAGAUCUAAUAGAAUUAUUAUAAUAUUUUGUUUGUGUGUUAAUAUAUUUUUGGUUUUUCUUAUACGGGUAAAAUAUAUCAGAUGAUAAAAGUAAAAUAUAUUAUAUUAAAAUAAAGUAUAUAUAUAUAUAUCUCAAAUAAACUAUUUCUGUCAGUCCAAAGACUAUGAAUUUAUGUUGAAAGAAAAAAGGAAGGUGAAUCUUAAACCUAUCAAGUUAAUAUAACGGAAAAAUGUUGAUAAAAUAUGUUACUAUUUGCUCCCAAAAAACUAUAAAGAUUUUUGGUCUGAUAAUUUAGUUAUAACUAUAAAAGAAAUAGUUGAGAGAAAUGGGUCCCAUCUAUUUUGUAUGAUUCAUACGAAAAAAACAAAGGAACUUACAUGUUAUACAAAUAUAGAUUAGCUGCAGUAAAAGAAAAAAAAUGAAAAUUAGUUAUAGUUAUUAUAUAGAUUUAGUCAAAUAUGUUCCAGUCAUUUAUUUGCGCAGGCUCGUAAAUAUUUUGUAACGUGAGUUUUUUAUUUUUAUAGGUAAGAGUUGUGGAUCCCUAGAAUAUAUGAUUAGAGGAGUAGUUACAAUACAUCAAAUUAUAAAAAGUAUCGGCAGUUGAUUUUGUAAAAAAAAGUCUAAUGGCAAAUAAAUAAUAUUCCUUAAAAACAGGACAUUAGUGGUCAUAAAACUGCUUUGUUAUUUAGAUGCAUGUAAUUAGUCAUAUAAACAGUUAUAUAUUGAUGCCGUAUUAUUUUAAAUUGGACUGAACUAAUAUCAACGGGACAUGUUCAUAAUUUAAUAAUAUUGAUUUUCUAAAUAUAAAUAAUUAUUUUUUAUUGUUUUGGCGGAAAGAAUGGAAUUGGUCUAUCGGCAUCAAUGAACCGGUGAAAAGGGCGUUUAUCACCAAGGUGAAGAUAUGUUUUCCUAAAUGCAAAGAAGAAGAGUUUGUGAAAAUCAAAAUAUAAAAACUUAUGAAAAACAACAACAAGAUAUAUAUAUAUCUAUAUAUAUAUAUAUAUAUAAGAGCAUGAUUAAUGGGAGAUUUUUAGGGUGAGGUUCUUAGCAGAAUAUAAAAAACUGUCUCUUAACUUUUAACUAAAACAACUAAGAACCGGCUCUUAAAUAUCUUAUAUAAGAGCCGGUUCUUAACUUUUUUUUAGUUAAAAGUUAAGAGAUAGUUUCUUAUAUUCCGCUAAGAAUCACAUUAUAAGAAUCUCUCAUUAAUCAUGUUCUAACUCCAGUUGAUUCUCGGGUCGUUAUGUGUAAUGAUAAUGUUUUUGGAACUACAAUGUUUUUGCUUUAUAUAUUGUAAAUGUACUUGUUUAGGAACGAGAAUUGGGCAUAGAUAACGAAGCCUAACAGUGGUAGUGCGGCCUGCUCCGAGGAGUAAACUUCCCCGCACGCAAAGAAGGACGAUUCAAACAGUAAGCUACUCAUAGACUGCACUUACCUUCGCUCAAAGCCAGAAACAACCACUUUGACUUACACAAGCAACAAGGGUAACGAUGACUGCCGAAACAUCUCCCUGACAUGGUCACUACGAGACGGAAGGAAAGAAGCGGAAGGAUAUAUAUAUAUAUAUAUAUAUAUAUGAGCAUCCAAUGAAGAAGAAAGGCAUCAUAACGACUUCGAGAGAGAAAGCUAUUGACUACUUGUUUAUCAUUUCUUAUAUUUCCUCUUCAGAAAAUAGUUUAAACACUUCCAUUUACAAAAUCUUUGAGCCUUAAAUCUCUUUAUUUUUGUUUGAUUAGUCGCUAAACUAGAUUACUAGAUUUAGGAUUCAACAACUCAAGGAGAAUCAUGUUAAGGGUUACGCUGGCGGUGUACAGGGGCGCUGGAAACAUCGAGAACUAUUUGUGUUUGGAAUUAAAUUGGAAGUUGCAGAAUACAAACACUAUAUAUUCUUAUGGUCAGCAUGGGAUGAUACUUCUGCUUGCAUGACCUCUUUAAGUCAAAGCAUAUGGUACGUAUAUAGGACGGUGGAAAGUAACACGAGAGGAGAAGGAGAUGAUCUGAUUUCUUCUAUGUCUCGUUCAUGGCAGGCUAGUCAAUGGAUAAUGAUUGAUUGUAUACAUCUUUUACUGGUUAGUAGGGAACGUCAUGUAUGUGUAAAGGCCGAUAGAUAAGCUCGAUUGGGACUGUCAUGUCUCACGUUUUCAAACAAGAUAUUAUGCGAAAAUUAUGGAGCUUGUCAAAUAAGAGGUUUCUCGCAAGGAGCUAAUAUUUUGAAGGGUCCUUGAGUUUAUAAUGGCAAAGAUAAUGCGAUAUUUCAGGUUAUCGGGUUUGCAAUAUGGGUAUCUCAUGACAUCAUUUUUCACAGGAUUGUAUAAAAUUGUUCAUCAUAUAAGGUUUCUUUACACCUGCUUCUCUAGCUUGGAAAGGCUUUUUAAAAUAUUUUUUUUUAAAUGAGAGUAUUUAGUUGGAAUUGUAGAGGGAUGGGAAGCAAUUGGACUAUCAAGUUAUCUAAGAAAAAUUUGGUAUAAACAUAAACCAGUUUUUUUUAUUUUUAUCAUAAACCAAGCAAGAUUUAGAGUUUGUCCAAAACUUUCAAUCACAUAUUGGAUUUGAUAACCUGGUUACAGUGGACCCAGUUGGGAGGAGUGGUGGAUUAGCUCUUUUAUACAAUAAUGAGUAUCAAGUCAAAAUUUUAUACUCCAGCAACAUGAUAAUAGAUGUGGAAGCAGUGGCUCUUGGAAAAGUAGUUUAUCUAACUUUUGUGUCUGGUGACCCAGUUCAACAACGAAGGGAACAAGUGUGGGAGAGGUUAACUAGGUAUGGGCUCUCACGAUCCGAACCCUGGUUCAUUGUUGGUGAUUUAAAUGAGAUCACUAGAAACCAUGAAAAAGAGGGAGGAUCUUUGAGAAGUGCAGAUUCAUUUAUUCCUUUUAACAACAUGAUACGAACAGUGGAUUAUUGGAGUUACUGGCUCGGGGAAACAAAAUAUCAUGGCAAGGAAGAAGAGGAAAAGGAAAAGGAACAGUGAUGAUCAGAUGUCGUCUAGAUUGGGCUUUAGCAAACGAGGAGUGGCACACUCUAUUUCCAUGUUCUUACACAGAAUAUUUAAGGAUGGUGGCAUCUGAUCAUCGUCCAGUGGUGGCCUAAUUAGAAGAUAAAGUUUCGAGGAGGAAAUGCCAAUUUCGAUUUGAUAAGAGAUGGAUUGGACAAGAAGGACUUAUGGAUUCAAUUACAAUGGGUUGGUCAAAUUAUAGAGAAGGACAAUCUGAAGGUAUAGUGGAAAAAAUUGGUAAUUGUCGUCAUGAAAUUGCUAAAUGGCGAAAAAAUAAUCCCCCAUAUGGAAAGAAAAAAAUAAAUGAUUUACAGAAAGCUCUCGAAGAGGUACAAACAGAUAAUAACAUGUCACAGGAGGAUAUUUUGGAAGUAUCCAAGAAGUUACAAGAUGCAUAUAAGGAUGAAGAAGAAUAUUGGCAUCAGAAAAGUAGGAAUAUGUGGUACUCAUCUGGGGAUCUCAAUACAAAAUUCUAUCAUGCUUUAACCAAGCAAAGGCGGGUACAUAAUAGGAUUGUGGGGCUAAAUGAUGCUGCUGGAAAUUGGAUUACAGAGGUCAAUGGGGUGGAAAAGGUGGCAGUAGACUACUUUAAAGAUUUAUUUAGUACCACUGCACCAUCAGAGUUUGAUAAUUUUCUCACACAGGUAACACCCGGUAUUACACCUCAGAUGAAUCAACGCUUGCUAAGAAUAGCAACCGAAUCCGAGGUCAAAGAGGCUUUGUUUAUGAUGCAUCCAGAGAAGGCGACAGGACCAGAUGGCAUGACUGCUCUUUUUUUCCAACACUCUUGGCAUUUUAUUAAGGAUGAUUUGAUUGACAUGGUGAAUAAUUUUCUGGUUUUUAGAGAUUUGGAUCCAAGGUUAAAUAUUACUAACAUUUGUAUGAUUCCAAAAACGGAGAGACCCACCAGGAUGACAGAGCUGAUGCCAGUUAGUCUAUGUAAUGUGGGGUAUAAGAUUAUUUCAAAGGUUUUGUAUCAGCGGUUGAAAACAUGCCUCCCUUCUCUCAUAUCGGAAACUCAAUCAGCUUUUGUUGCAUGACGGUUGAUUUCUGAUAAUAUUCUUAUCGCUCAGAAGAUGUUCCAUGGAUUGAGAACCAAUAAGGCAUGUCAGGAAAAGUUUAUGGCGAUUAUAACGGAUAUGAGUAAAGCGUAUGAUCGAGUGGAAUGAGAUUUUAUCAAGGCCUUACUACAGAAUAUGGGGUUUGAUCUUCACUGGACUAAACUAAUGAUGGAGUGUAUAUCAUCAGUUCAGUAUCGGGUUCUACUGAAUGGUCAACCAUGUGGUCUCAUUGUCCCACAUCGGGGCUUACGCCAAGGGGAACCUUUAUCUCCUUAUUUAUUCAUUUUGUGUACUGAGGCUUUAAUUACAAACAUAAAAAAGGCAGAGCGAGGGCAACAAAUAACGGAAAUGAAGGUAGCUAGAGCAUGUCCAUCGAUAUCUCAUUUACUAUUUGCAGACGACAGUCUCUUCUUUUAUAAAGCGCAGAAAGAGGAGUGCCAAACCAUUCUCAGGAUUUUAAAGGAAUAUAAGGCAGUAUCAGGACAACUUAUAAAUUUUGAUAAGUCGUCCAUCCAAUUUGGCCACAAAAUUGAAGAAUCGGCCAGACAAGAGUUAAGGAAUAUCCUGGGUAUCCAGAAUAUAGGACGAAUGAGAUCUUACUUAGGUUUACCAGAAAAUCUCAGAGGCUCCAAAAUACUAGUUUUUAGUUUUGUACUGGACCGACUAAAAAACAGAGUCAACGGUUGGACUUUUAGGUUUUUCACAAAAGGAGGCAAAGAAGUGAUUAUCAAAUCAGUGGUUACGGCAUUACCAAAUCACGUGAUGUCUUGCUAUCGUUUACAUAAGGCAACCGUUAAAAAACUGACGAGUCCGGUAGCAAAAUUCUGGUGGAACCCAGGGGGAAGUACAAGCGGUAAGCACUGGAAAUCUUGGGACAAAGUAUGUGUCGAUAUGGAUGAUGGAGGUUUGAGGUUUAAAGAUAUAACUGAUUUCAACACAGCGAUGCUAGCUAAGCAGUUGUGGCGUCUGAUAGAGAAGCCAAACACCUUAUUUUCUCGAGUUUUCAAAGGUCGGUAUUUCAGGAAUGCGUCACCCCUAGAACCGAUCCGUUCAAAUUCUCCGUCAUAUGGCUGGCGGAGUAUAGUAUCUGCUAGAUCUCUGGUAAGCAAAGGAAUAAUCAAAAGGGUGGGAUCAGGAUCAUCUAUUUCAGUAUGGAACGAUCCAUAGCUCCCAACCACUCGCCCUAGACCAGUCAAUAAAAACCAACACAAUUUCUACCCAUACCUCACAGUGGAUUCUCUCAUUAAUUCCACUUCGCGAACUUGGAACUUGCAGGCGAUUAGGGAUUUGGUGGACCCACAAGAUGCAAAAAUUAUAGAAAGUAUACCACUGAGCAAGACUCAGAUGAUAGACAUGGAUGGAUGGCAUUUCACAAAAAAAUGGGAAAUAUAUAGUUAAAUCUGGAUAUCAGGUAGAACGAGUUUAUCCAGACAAGGAAAGACCGCCAUUACUCUUUGGACCUACAGUCGAUGUAUUAAAGGCGUUCUGUUGGAAAAUAAGGUGUCCACCAAAGUUAAAACAUUUUCUAUGGCAAUUGGUGACUGGAUGUAUAGCAGUCAAGAAAAAUCUAUAUGCAAGAGGAUUACAAGGGGACAUAUGUUGUGCAAGAUGUGGAGCCUCUGAGGAAUCGAUAAAUCAUGUGUUUUUCGAAUGUCCUCCAGCACUUCAGGUUUGGGCUCUCUCGAAGAUACCAUCAAAUCCAUAUUUUUUUCUCAACAUCUUCUCUUUUCACAAACAUGGAUCAUCUUUUUUGGAGAGUCUUUCCUCAAAUGGAUGAUCAUCAGUUUGCAUGGAUAUUAUGAUAAAUUUGGCAAGUAAGGAAUAAUAAAGUCUUCAGCAACCUGGAUAUUGAUCCUAGGGAAACUCUUAAGUGGGCAGAAACAUAAUCAACAUUGUGGGCUAGGGCACAUAUAUUGAAAGAACAGAGGAUUGCACAAAACGUGGAGGUUACGACACUACCGGCAAUUCCGGGAAUAUGGUGUUUCACAGAUGGUUCCUGGAAAGAGAAUGAUAUUUUCUCCGGACAAGGAUGGUUAAGUACGCUAGAAGGAUUUGAUGGACUGAUCGGGGCGAGAAAUGUUAGAGUUUGUCUCUCUCCUCUUCAUGCAGAGAUGGAAACACUAAUCUGGGCAAUGGAAUGUAUGAGAAAUUUACGGCAAUUUCAGCUUACGUUUGCAACAGAUUGUUCUCAAUUGGUGAAGAUGGUUUCAGAACCAAAAGAAUGACCAGCUUUUGCAAGUUAUUUGGAAGAUUUAAAAAUCCUGAAAGAAAGUUUCCUCCAAUCAGAGAUCAUCUAUGUUUCAAGAACGCACAAUACCAAGGCGGACAGCCUAGCACACACUGUAAGGAAGCAACCGUCCUUCGUCGUUCACAUGGAUGCAGAUCUUCCAACAUGGUUCACAAAGUCAAUAUGAAUGUAUAAGUUGAUGACAAAAAAAAAGUUUUAAGAUUCAACAAUGACUGAAUACUUGGUGAAAACAGCCUUAGUCGCAUUCUAUCUUUGUAAGAAACCAUCUUCACUGGACUAAGUGGCAAGAGCAUCCUCAUUAUAAAUUGUUAAGAUACUCUCAAACAAAAUAAUAAUAUUAUUUUAACAUAAAAUAACUAAUACCAUUAAAACAAAAACACAACUAUGAAAACAACUUUAUGUUACAGAAAAUGCCACUGUAUUUAUAAUAUUUCCUUACAAUUCAUUAAAGGCAUUUUCAUCCUAUAUAAAAAAGAAUUCUAAAAGGAAAUAACCAAAAACAUAUUCAUAACAAUUUUUCUAAGAUUGCAUUAAUAGAUCUUACUAUAUUUUUUUGUUUCACAUAUAAAUAUAUAUAUAUAGUUACAUUUAAUAGUAUUAAAGCUUUAAAAAUAUCUAAAUAACUAAAUAUUUUCGUAUUUAAUAUUAAAUUAUUAUUAUAUAUUAAUAUUAAUUUAAUCUCCAAUUAUACACAUAAAAUAAAUUUUAUAGUAUUUUAUGUAUAAUUAAAGCGUUAAUAAUUUAGUACAUCAGAUAAUAAAAACACAUAAAACUUUAUCUUUUAAUUAUUUUAUAAAUAAAAAAUUAAAUUAAAGUUACUGUACACACAAAAUAACAAAAAUUUCUAGAAUUUAUAUUAUUAAAUGAAUAAUUUUAAUUUUAAUUUAUAUUAUUUACAUAUUAUUAAAGUAAAUAUUAAAUCAAUGAUCAUAACUUAAUCUAACAAAACAUUUUCUAAAAAAAAUAGAUAUUAAAAAUAAUAUCAAUAAAUAUUGGAUGAAUAUAUAUAUAUUUAUGUUUACUUGAUAAAAAUAAAAUAUUAAAAAUUAACUGAUAUUUAUUAAAAAUAAAUAUUAAAAAAUAACUGAUAUUUAUAGUGUUUGACGAUACACUUGAUAUUUUUAUAAUUAUAGAUUUUAAUGGGUUAUUUCAUCGAAUAUGCAAUAUAUUAAUCAAAUACUAGACGGUUUCCACAAAUACAUCAACUCAUUUAUAAAAAAAAUUAUAAAACAAAAUUUUGCCAAUAUGCGACAUGUUAAAAUAUUAAUUACUCCAUCUCAAUUUUAGUUUGUUAAAUAUAAAACUAAAAACAAAUUCAAGACACAUAAAAAAAAUUAUUGUGUUUGAUUAAUAUAUAGUUAUAUCUAAAUACAACUUUAACAUUAUUUCCGUAAAGCAAAAUAUUUUAAAUCAACUUAAAUAUACUAAACUUAUAAUGAUUAGUUUAUUUAAAAUAAAAUAUUUUUAAAAUUAUGAUAUUUCGUUAUAGUACUGAUUAGUGAAUAGAAUGACGAUGAAAAUUAAUAUGUUUUUAUAAUUAUUUUUUACAAAUAUAAAAUAUGAAUAUGUUAACAUCUCAAAUUAAGGCUUUUGUUUUAUUUAACAGAUUUGAUAAAAUUAUACACAUUUAAUAAACUAAAAAUGAAAUUUCAUCUAAUUUUUAAAUAUUUAAAGUAAGGAAAUCAAGAUAGAAUAAUGAUUCUAACGUUUCUUAAAUUCAAUAUUUAGCUUCAAGAAGUACUCCAAAUAAAUAAUAUACAUAAAUUUAAAUAAUUUUUUAAACAAAAAUAAUUCCAAACUUCGAAAGGAUCAAAAUCUAAUUAUCUAAUUAAACUUUAAGUUAUAGAAGAAAGAUAAUCCAAUUAAUGAAAAACAUAUGUCUAGGAGAAUUUUCUUGAGUUUCUUGACAAGUUUCAAAUGAAAAACUCUUAUCUAUUCGAUCAGCUUCCAAAAGUAUAAUGAGCAUAUAAAGUUAAUCUAUUCGAGGAACACAGAACAUAAAUUUAUAAAUUCAUCAUAUUCUAAAGCUAGAUUUGACCAUUCUUCUUUAUAUUCGAUUAGUUUGACCAGUUGAAGACUAUUUGGUUCUAAAUCAUUUGGAUAAAUCCUAGUUGAAGUAGAUUUUUCAUCACCCAUAUCAGAGUUUUAAGUUUAAGACGAGGGUGAGCCGAUCUGGUCCAAAAGAACCAAAGAAAUUACUGUCCGUCUUCCAGCUCUAUGACUAUAACUAUACCUCCAUGAUAAAACUACUCUUCGAUCGUUCAAAAUGCAUCCAUGAGAUCUUGGUUUCAGCGAAGCAAAACUUUUUCAUUAGGGACAAGUGGUUGUCAUUUGAUCCUAUUUCCAAAACACUUGCAAAACUACUCAUUCAUAUGAUUCAUAAAUAGCGAGUUGCGUUGUCGUAUAUCUAUUAAUAAAAUUUUAUGGUUGAAAACUUCAGAAGGGAUAGCCGAGAUCACCAAGUUUGCAAGACUGGCUGACAUUGGAGAAAGCAUCCAGAAUCAACAUUUAGUGUAUUCAAAUAUAUGACUUAAUUAAAGCACAAAUAGGAAUUGGGUUUGAAAUUACCCUUUUCUUUAGCUCAGAAGGCUAAAAUAUUAACCAUGAUCUUUUGAUAACCAAAUUCUUGAAAUAGCCAGGCUGUUUCUUACCUUAUUAGUUGAAAGUUGAAAUGCUUUGAUUUCUUCAGCUCAGAAUGCUAAAAUUUUGCAAGGUAUCAAUAUAUAUAAACUACGUUAGUUGUAACAGUACAGAAUCAAGGUGAAGGUGAUGCUUGACUGGGGCCCCAAGGGAAAAUUUGGACCGCCGUUGCCUGCUGUUGUGAUCAUCUAUGCUCCAAAAGAUGUUAACUACACACCUGUUCUGGGAAAGGUUCACUUACGGCCACAGAUUACCCUGAAAUCCCAGUGGCUUAAAGAAGCGUUUUUGCGUGUUUGGUUUACUACAUGGGGAUGGUUCCCUUUUUGGGACUGUAUUAGUGACAGAAUUUUAUUUUCUCGUAUUAUACAGAAUUUUAUUUUCUCGUAUUAUUCUAAUAUAUUAUAAGUUCUGGAGAUAAAAAUAAAUCUUGAGACCAAUGGGGAAUUGUCAAUAUAAGAUAGAAGAAGAAUGCAAGAGUUUUUUUUUUUUUUUGAAAAAGAAGAAUGCAAGAGUUCAUUAUUACAUGAAUUGAUAAAUCAUUAUCAUACUAUAAUGAUAGACAGAUAUCUCUCGUCCUUAGCCUCUCUUAACAGGAUCAAAGUUGGAGACACCAACAACCACACCGAUGAUGACCGUGAGCACCACUCCUCCCGCGGCAAUGCUAAGCAAGAAGUUCUUGAGAGAGGGAGAGAUUCCAGAGCCUGCGGCUUCAGCCACCUCAGGGAUCACCAUUGAAACGGUGAGAGCUGCUGCUGCUAAGCCGCUCACAGCCUUCUCCAUUUUCAGGUUAGAUGCAUUCACUUGAAACCUCCGUGAAGGCAUGGCUAAGGAGGAGGAUGACGCCUUAGAUGGCUUGAAAGGCAAUAGUGGCUUGCGUAAGGCUACAGUUUUUGUCGACGACGGCGAUCGGUUUUGGGUGAGUGGCAUGAACAAUGACACGGCGGAGGUAGAAGCCAUCUCUUUUUCUC